CCCCAGGCUUUGGGAUAACCCCGGGAAACCGGGGCUAAUACCGAAUAUGACCUCCGAUCGCAUGGUUGGUGGUGGAAAGUUUUUCGGCUUGGGAUGGGCUCGCGGCCUAUCAGCUUGUUGGUGGGGUGAUGGCCUACCAAGGCGACGACGGGUAGCCGGCCUGAGAGGGCGACCGGCCACACUGGGACUGAGACACGGCCCAGACUCCUACGGGAGGCAGCAGUGGGGAAUAUUGCACAAUGGGCGGAAGCCUGAUGCAGCGACGCCGCGUGAGGGAUGACGGCCUUCGGGUUGUAAACCUCUUUCAGCAGGGACGAAGCGUAAGUGACGGUACCUGCAGAAGAAGCGCCGGCCAACUACGUGCCAGCAGCCGCGGUAAGACGUAGGGCGCGAGCGUUGUCCGGAUUUAUUGGGCGUAAAGAGCUCGUAGGCGGCUUGUCGCGUCGACCGUGAAAACCUGGGGCUCAAACCCAGGCCUGCGGUCGAUACGGGCAGGCUAGAGUUCGGUAGGGGAGACUGGAAUUCCUGGUGUAGCGGUGAAAUGCGCAGAUAUCAGGAGGAACACCGGUGGCGAAGGCGGGUCUCUGGGCCGAUACUGACGCUGAGGAGCGAAAGCGUGGGGAGCGAACAGGAUUAGAUACCCUGGUAGUCCACGCUGUAAACGUUGGGCGCUAGGUGUGGGGGGCCUCUCCGGUUCCCUGUGCCGCAGCUAACGCAUUAAGCGCCCCGCCUGGGGAGUACGGCCGCAAGGCUAAAACUCAAAGGAAUUGACGGGGGCC
rnacentral:rRNA from 1 species